GAUGAAGAACGUAGCGAAAUGCGAUAAGUAAUGUGAAUUGCAGAAUUCAGUGAAUCAUCGAAUCUUUGAACGCACAUUGCGCCCCCCAGUAUUCUGGCGGGCAUGCCUGUUCGAGCGUCAUUUCAACCAUCAAGCCCUGCUUGUGUUGGGGUCCUGCGGCUGCCCGCAGGCCCUGAAAACCAGUGGCGGGCUCGCUAGUCACACCGAGCGCAGUAGCACAUCUCGCUCAGGGCGUGCGGCGGGCUCCAGCCGUUAAAGCACCCACCUUUCGCAAGGUUGACCUCGGAUCAGGUAGGACUACCCGCUGAACUUAAGCAUAUCAAUAAGCGGAGGA
rnacentral:misc_RNA from 1 species